UACGUAGGGUGCGAGCGUUAAUCGGAAUUACUGGGCGUAAAGCGUGCGUAGGCGGUUCUCCAAGUCCGUUGUGAAAUCCCCGGGCUUAACCUGGGAAUGGCAGUGGAAACUAGGGGACUUGAAUCUGGCAGAGGGGGGUGGAAUUCCACGGUGUAGCAGUGAAAUGCGUAGAGAUGUGGAGGAACACCGAUGGCGAAGGCAGCCCCCUGGGCUGAGAUUGACGCUGAGUGCACGAAAGCGUGGGGAGCAAACAGGA
rnacentral:rRNA from 1 species